UGUAAAACAUGAUAGCCCCAUUAAGUUAAAUAAACUUACUUCUUGUCUUUAACUCCACUUGCAAUGCUAAGUUGUGGAAAUUGAACUCAAGUGUACAAGUUUUAGAAAAUUAAACUUAAAGGUAUGCGUUAUGUUGACUAAUUGUGAUUUUUGUCUGGCUUGUAAAUGUUCAUUUAACUCGUGGCUGUAAGUUAACGUUGGGGGAGGGGUGAUACAGAGCAAAUACCGCGAAAUACAGAGAGGAGUUGUCGCCAUUUUGUGCCAGCGCAGCUGCAAGCAGGAGUCAUACGGGAAUUCAUGCUGAAAAACACAAAAUAUCCGUGGAAGAGGAGUAUCGGAAGAGCAUGCUUUUAGAGGUCCAAAAGUGUGAUCCAGACCUGCAGCUUCUUGAUGAACUGAUGACUGCAACAUUCUCUCAGCGAAGAAAAGAAAAUCAUUGCUGACAAGCCACUCAUCUCUGUAGUCAGGGACAGAUGGCCUGCACUCUUCAAUGAGAGACAGAUAAGUGAUAAAUGGACUAGAUGCCUUGGUGCCAAUUUUUUUAGAGCUGUACAAAGUCUCGUCAAGCAGGAGAUUGAGCAUUAGCAGAGUUAUGCAGUGCCUUGAUAAGGAGGACACAAAUCAGAACAGAAGAACAGCUGCCUUACUUGGUCUUCCACACUUCUUUUCAGAGGAUACUUCGGAUAUAACCAAGAUGUGUGAUGUUCAUGGUGAAACCCUGGAUGUCAUUAUGAAGGGAAUGCGUGUUGGUCUACUGAUUGGACACGAAGGUGUCCUGAAUGAUGCAUUUCCUCUUGA